AUGUAAAUUUUUGUGUGAGUUUAUACUUAUUUUAAAAAUAAGUAUUAAUAUAAUAAACGCAGUAAUUAGUUUUAUAAAUCAAGUAAUUUUGGAUAUAGUGAUAUUAACUAGUAUUGACUAAAUUUGUGCCAGCAGUCGCGGUUAGACGAAUAAUACAAGUAAAUUUUAUUAGACUGAGUUAAAUGUUUAUGAAUUUAUUUAUAUUAAUUAUUAGGUGAAAUUUUAAAUUAAUUUUAGUAAUAUUUUUAAGUUAUUUGAAGCUUGUAAAUUUUAAUUAAAAACUAGGAUUAGAUACCCUAUUAUUUGAAAUUAUUUUAUAGUCUUAGGUAGUAGUAGUAGUUAUGGUCUUGAAACUUAAAAAAUUUGGCGGUAUUUUAGUCUAUCCAGAGGAACCUGUUCUGUAAUCGAUAAUCCGCGUUGGACCUUACUUAAUAAUGUUUUCAGUUUAUAUACCGUCGUUAUAAGAAUAUUUUAUUAGAAUAAUAAUUUUCUUGAAAUUUUAUUAAAAUUUAUAUCAGAUCAAGGUGUAGCUAAUGAUUAAGUAGAAAUGGGUUACAAUAAAUUUAUUUAUACGGAUUUAAAUAUGAAAAAUUUUUUGAAGGUGGAUUUGGCAGUAAAAUUAUAAAUGUUAUUAAUUUGAUUUUGGCUCUAAAAUAUGCACACAUCGCCCGUCGCUCUUGUUAUUAAAAUAAGAUAAGUCGUAACAUAGUAGAUGUA
rnacentral:rRNA from 1 species